rnacentral:rRNA from 1 species
CUCUGUGACUCCUACGGGAGGCAGCAGUGGGGAAUAUUGCACAAUGGGCGCAAGCCUGAUGCAGCCAUGCCGCGUGUGUGAAGAAGGCCUUCGGGUUGUAAAGCACUUUCAGUUGUGAGGAAGGUGGUGUCGUUAAUAGCGGCAUCAUUUGACGUUAGCAACAGAAGAAGCACCGGCUAACUCCGUGCCAGCAGCCGCGGUAAUACGGAGGGUGCGAGCGUUAAUCGGAAUUACUGGGCGUAAAGCGCAUGCAGGUGGUUUGUUAAGUCAGAUGUGAAAGCCCGGGGCUCAACCUCGGAACUGCAUUUGAAACUGGCAGACUAGAGUACUGUAGAGGGGGUAGAAUUUCAGGUGUAGCGGUGAAAUGCGUAGAGAUCUGAAGGAAUACCGGUGGCGAAGGCGGCCCCCUGGACAGAUACUGACACUCAGAUGCGAAAGCGUGGGGAGCAAACAGGAUUAGACACCCUGGUAG